rnacentral:tRNA from 1 species
GCUCAGUUAGUUAAGUGGCUGACUCCUGAUUUUGGCUCAGGUCAUGAUCUCACAGUUGGUUUGUGAGUUCAAGCCCUGCAUUGGGCU